UACGGGGGGGGUAAGCGUUGUUCGGAAUUACUGGGCGUAAAGGGCUCGUAGGCGGCCAACUAAGUCAGACGUGAAAUCCCUCAGCUUAACUGGGGAACUGCGUCUGAUACUGGAUGGCUUGGAUUCGGGAGAGGAAUGCGGAAUUCCCGGUGUAGCGGUGAAAUGUGUAGAGAUCGGGAGGAACACCGGUGGCGAAGGCGGGUCUCUGGGCAAUUCCUGACGCUGAGGCGCGAAAGCGUGGGGAGCAAACGGG
rnacentral:rRNA from 1 species